CAGUCCAUGGGGUCGCAAAGGGUCGGACAUGACUGAGCGACUGAACUGAAAUGAACUGAAGGAAUGUUAUAUAAUGAGCUUUCUCCUAGAGAUUCACAGCAUACAAUAGAAUAGUCACGACUCAGAGGAGUCCUGCUAUGUUUUCAAGUCACAUUUAACCACAGAAAUAUAAGAAAUUUGGAACAGUGAUAAUUCAUUUUUUAAGAUAGAAUUCACUUCUGUCACAGAAAUUUGCCAACCCUCAAUGAACACUGAGAAGUGGUUUAUAGAGAUAAAUAACACUUAUUCAGCAAAGUCUUGUUGAAUGCCCACUGUACCUUCCACUGUGAGUAUACAGUGAUGAGCAAAACAGACAUGGUUUCUGUCUUGUGGAGCUUCUGGUAGCACUGGGCUGUCAUGGGAGGCAUUAAGAAAGGAAAAGCGAGUGGUUAGAUACCUAAAUGCUCCUCAAGCUAUGGAACAGGCCCGUGAGCUGGGCAGUUAGCCCGGCUAUUUGCACCCUGUCUGGAGGCUAUGAAACCUACUGAUGUAAUCACACUACUCGAGAGAACCAUAAGAAAAAGUCAAUCCAAAUACAUUUAUUUCUGGAAUAGCAGAAUUUACCUAGGAAAGGAAGUUCAGGAAAGACAGGUAAGAAGUAGGUCAUUUUAAGGCUUUUGGAAUCUCUGGUGGAUCUGAAGAUCCCGCCUAAGUUAAGCUCUGUGACAGUGUCUGAAGUCCAGCCAAGUCCCGUAAAUGUUAACUAGAAUGGCCGCGGUGGUGAUGGUGACCCAUAUCGUGAUGGUGGUGGUGGUGGUGGCGGUGCUGGAUGAUAAUGGUGGUAGCAAUGGUGAUUCUGAUGACGGUAGUGAAGACGGUAGUGACGGUGAUGACGGUGAUGGUGGUGAUGGUGGUGAUGAUAAUGAUGACAGCAGUAGGAAUCUUCACCUCCUUCCUUUCACUCAGUACUGCAUCUAGUUGGUCACCAAGAACUGUGAGUCUACUUAUUAAGUUGCACUUAAAUCCGUCCUCUCAUUUCUCUCUAAAAUUCCGUUUCCCUGGAACAGGCCCUAGUCCUCUCCUAGUGACCACCUUAUCUCAUUUCGCUGCCUCUAACUCACAUUCUUCCAAUCCCUGCCCCGCACUGUGCUAAUGUGAUCUUCCUAAAGUUUAAGACUGACCACAGUUCUCCUUUGUCAAGCAGGCUCUGGAGUUUCCCGAAGGUCUAUCCUCCAGACAUCUGGGUGCCUUAGCAGGGAUUAAAGAAUCUCCACAGCUUCCCUCCCCAGCCGUAUCUCUUCCCCUCUCAUUGUGUAUCCUCAGCUCAACCACAGUCAGCCCACUGCAGCCCAGUCACUCCACGGACAUGGACACAUCCUUGCCUUUCUC
rnacentral:lncRNA from 1 species